rnacentral:rRNA from 1 species
UACGAAGGGGGCUAGCGUUGCUCGGAAUUACUGGGCGUAAAGCGCACGUAGGCGGCUUCUUAAGUCGGUGGUGAAAUCCUGGAGCUCAACUCCAGAACUGCCUUCGAUACUGGAAGACUUGAGUCCGGGAGAGGUGAGUGGAACUGCGAGUGUAGAGGCGAAAUUCGUAGAUAUUCGCAAGAACACCAGUGGCGAAGGCGGCUCACUGGCCCGAUACUGACGCUGAGGCUCGAAAGCGUGGGGAUCAAACAGG